rnacentral:rRNA from 1 species
GAUGAACGCUGGCGGCGUGCCUAAUACAUGCAAGUCGAGCGAACGGACGAGAAGCUUGCUUCUCUGAUGUUAGCGGCGGACGGGUGAGUAACACGUGGAUAACCUACCUAUAAGACUGGGAUAACUUCGGGAAACCGGAGCUAAUACCGGAUAAUAUUUUGAACCGCAUGGUUCAAAAGUAAAAGACGGUCUUGCUGUCACUUAUAGAUGGAUCCGCGCUGCAUUAGCUAGUUGGUAAGGUAACGGCUUACCAAGGCAACGAUGCAUAGCCGACCUGAGGGGGUGAUCGGCCACACGGGAACUGAGACACGGUCCAGACUCCUACGGGAGGCAGCAGUAGGGAAUCUUCCGCAAUGGGCGAAAGCCUGACGGAGCAACGCCGCGUGAGUGAUGAAGGUCUUCGGAUCGUAAAACUCUGUUAUUAGGGAAGAACAUAUGUGUAAGUAACUGUGCACAUCUUGACGGUACCUAAUCAGAAAGCCACGGCUAACUACGUG